CUCCGUNAGGGGUAACCUGCGGAGGGAUCAUUACACAAAUAUGAAGGCGGGCUGGAACCUCUCGGGGUUACAGCCUUGCUGAAUUAUUCACCCUUGUCUUUUGCGUACUUCUUGUUUCCUUGGUGGGUUCGCCCACCACUAGGACAAACAUAAACCUUUUGUAAUUGCAAUCAGCGUCAGUAACAAAUUAAUAAUUACAACUUUCAACAACGGAUCUCUUGGUUCUGGCAUCGAUGAAGAACGCAGCGAAAUGCGAUAAGUAGUGUGAAUUGCAGAAUUCAGUGAAUCAUCGAAUCUUUGAACGCACAUUGCGCCCUUUGGUAUUCCAAAGGGCAUGCCUGUUCGAGCGUCAUUUGUACCCUCAAGCUUUGCUUGGUGUUGGGCGUCUUGUCUCUAGCUUUGCUGGAGACUCGCCUUAAAGUAAUUGGCAGCCGGCCUACUGGUUUCGGAGCGCAGCACAAGUCGCACUCUCUAUCAGCAAAGGUCUAGCAUCCAUUAAGCCUUUUUUUCAACUUUUGACCUCGGAUCAGGUAGGGAUACCCGCUGAACUUAAGCAUAUCAUAAGCCGGAGGAA
rnacentral:rRNA from 1 species